rnacentral:pre_miRNA from 1 species
GUGAGAAUCACAGUGCAGUUCUCCUCUGGCAUGGAUGCCAAUGUAGCAGGUCCUGGACAAUGGCCUAUGCUAUCACCGUCCCUGCCAAAGGAGAAUUGCCCUGCCAUUCAGUA